rnacentral:rRNA from 1 species
GUCCACGCCCUAAACUAUGUCAACUAGACGUUGGUCCCUUUAAUGGGAUUAGUGUCGAAGCUAACGCGUUAAGUUGACCGCCUGGGGAGUACGGCCGCAAGGUUGAAACUCAAAGGAAUUGACGGGGCCCGCACAAGCGGUGGAGCAUGUGGUUUAAUUCGAUGCAACGCGAAGAACCUUACCAGCCCUUGACAUCCUCGGAACUUUGUAGAGAUACAUUGGUGCCUUCGGGAAUCGAGAGACAGGUGCUGCAUGGCUGUCGU